rnacentral:rRNA from 1 species
CCUACGGGAGGCAGCAGUAGGGAAUAUUGCUCAAUGGGGGAAACCCUGAAGCAGCAACGCCGCGUGGAGGAUGAAGGUUUUCGGAUUGUAAACUCCUUUUGUUAUAGAAGAUAAUGACGGUAUCUAACGAAUAAGCACCGGCUAACUCCGUGCCAGCAGCCGCGGUAAUACGGAGGGUGCAAGCGUUACUCGGAAUCACUGGGCGUAAAGAGCGCGUAGGCGGGAUAGCAAGUCAGAUGUGAAAUCCUAUGGCUUAACCAUAGAACUGCAUUUGAAACUGUUAGUCUAGAGUAUGGGAGAGGUAGGUGGAAUUCUUGGUGUAGGGGUAAAAUGCGUAGAGAUCAAGAGGAAUACUCAUUGCGAAGGCGACCUGCUAGAACAUAACUGACGCUGAGGCGCGAAAGCGUGGGGAGCAAACAGGAUUAGAUACCCCUGUAGUC